UCGGAAUUGCUAGUAAUCGCGGAUCAGCAUGCUGCGGUGAAUACGUUCCCGGGCCUUGUACACACCGCCCGUCACACCAUGGGAGUCGGUAACACCCGAAGUCGGUAGCCUAACCGUAAGGAGGGCGCCGCCGAAGGUGGGAUUGAUGACUGGGGUGAAGUCGUAACAAGGUAAC
rnacentral:rRNA from 1 species